UUAAUUUUAUAAAACUACACUCGUAUAAUCGCAGGGAUAUGGCCUGCAAGUUUCUACCGGAUAACCUUAAAUUAUUCGACUAUGGGUGGCAUGUGUGGAUUG
rnacentral:ncRNA from 2 species